AUGGAGACCUGGGCGUGCCAUCAGCUGAAGAUCAAAGGUGACUGUAAUGGUCAGACCAUUAAGCCAAUCAGAGAGGAGGUGUAUGCUCCAGCAGGAAGCAAUAUUACACUUUCAUGCACCUACUCAUCUGCAGUCUCUCUUCAAUGGUAUCUCCAGGACCCUGGAUCAGCUCCUCAGUAUAUCCUGCUUAUCUUGCAUGGUGUGGGGUCUCCAUCACUGGCACCAGGUCUGGAUCCUCGACUGUCAGUCAAACUGAAUGCUGAGAAGAACCGUGUGGAUCUGGAGAUCUCCUCUGCUAAAGAGAAAGACUCUGCUAUGUACUACUGUGCACUGACGCCCACAGAGAAAGGAAACCUACAAACGCUGUACAAAAACCUAACCUGA